rnacentral:rRNA from 1 species
GAUCCUGGCUCAGGAUGAACGCUAGCUACAGGCUUAACACAUGCAAGUCGAGGGGGCAGCAUUUCAGUUUGCUUGCAAACUGGAGAUGGCGACCGGCGCACGGGUGAGUAACACGUAUCCAACCUGCCGAUAACUCGGGGAUAGCCUUUCGAAAGAGAGAUUAAUACCCGAUGGUAUAAUCAGACCGCAUGGUCUUGUUAUUAAAGAAUUUCGGUUAUCGAUGGGGAUGCGUUCCAUUAGG